rnacentral:lncRNA from 1 species
UGUGUGUGUGUGUGUGUGUGUUUGUCAUCAUCAACAUUGUUGUUUUUUCGUCCUCCUCAACGACUCCUUUGUUGUUCCUUUUUGACUAAACCAAAGGAUCGAUCCGUCGAUCGAUCAUUAAGCUGAAACCACUACGCUCGAGACAAAUCUCGAUAUAACUUGAUUGAACUCCUCGGGAUCGGCCUGGUGGAUGUUGUGCGCGAGGCCCUUGAAUUGUUUGAUUUGCGAAUCGUAGAUUUGCAUCUCAAUGGGUUUAACGUGCGCCGAGUAACUUAUGAUAGGGUCGUUGCUUCCGUGCAGUACGAGUGUGGGGCACUUGAUUUGGCGUAAGCGAUCGCGAAUGUCAAAUUGAUCUGGCAACUCGAGAGUUUUCACAACGAAAUCAACGUAGCGUCUCCACAGAUCAGAGAACUGCUGUUCGCCAUAAACAUCCGAGUAGGUCUUCAGGAUACUUGGCUCCCAGAUUGAAGUGUCACGGGCGCGCGCUGUUGCCAGACAGGAUUGUUUAUCCAUGACAGGCGAGAAGCCCCAAAGGAUUAACGCGUUGAUACGCGAUUGGCACUUGAUUGCCAGCAGGGCGGCAACACGGGCGCCAUCGUUCCAGCCGCCGACCGAGUAGGUCUUGAAUGAGAGCCGGGCCAUGAGCUGGGCACAGACCUCGGCGCACAUCUCGAAGUACUCGAGGGUGGGCAGGCAGUUCUGUUGCAACUCCCCAUUGAAGGCCUCGGACUUCCCGUAGCCGGGCAGGUCUGGCGCCACGAUUGUGAACUCGCUCGCCUUUAGGCCCUUCGUCUCGUCCAUCUGCAUGUAAAAGUCGCC